UAGUGACAGGGACCAGAGCAGGAGAGCCCAGAAAAGAACCAGUUAAUCUCUUUGCAGAGUCCUGUGGAAACAGGCAGCAAUCUUUUUUUUACCCUGUGCUGAAGGGGAAAUAGAAAAAAUCCCAGUCAUGGCAAAUGAUGGAAUAAACACAGACCCCUCAUUUGAGAAACAAACUGGGUUUCUCUCUGCUUGCUUUUCAUUCAGCUGCUCCUCCUCAUUUCCAUCUUUCUCAGCACCUCCCCUCCAAAAUCCUGCAGUCUUCCUGUCCCAGAAAUCAGAUUUUUUUUUUUUCCCCCUUUAUUUCAGCUACAAGACUCCAGCAAAACCUGAUGGCGUUAAUUAUAUCCGGACAGAUGAUGAGGGCGACUUCAGACACAAGUCUUCGUUCGUCAUAUAGGACACCAAAAGAAUACUGCAAAACCAGCAAAAGCAAGUGUGAAAAUACCUCCUCCAGGAACUCAAAGCAAGAGCAAAAGAUUAAUUAAGUGCGCUUGGAAGAGUUUGGAACACACAAGAACUCGAUAGCUAGCUAUCUGUAUAUCUUUUUUUUCUUUGCCAAAGUUUAAAGUAACUCCUCACUGCCCAACUCGCGUCUCCCCUGCCUCCGGAGAUACCAACAGGAUCACCUAAACCUGCCCUUGGACUAAGGAAGUGUUUUAAUACUUCCCAAGAGACUGGGCUGUGGAAGUUUGUGGCAUUGCCUUCUAUUUGUGCUGCAGGGACACGGCCACAAUGUGCAAACCACCCAGGGGGACAGCAUUAGGUAAACGUGUAGUAGACAUUGCUAGUACGUGUUACUAGUAGACAAAAAAAAGGUGCUGAUACAGGAGUAGAUGGACUUCAAAGAGUGAGACUUAUCCAUGCAAGGGGGGGGGUCUUCCUCCCAGCAGCUCAUUGCCCAGGCCUGGCUGGUGACUUCUACACAUUUGUGUGUAAAAGAUUGUCCUGUGCUCGACUCUGACUGCUCAGGAGCAGGGGGGUGUCUCUGAACAGCCGACAGCGAACACCACUAAUGUUCUCAGCCCCUGUGUAAACCUAAUUCUUGUUGUUUAACAUGAUGACCCACCAGGCCAGGAUUGCUUCUGUUCCCUGCUUUGUAGAGAACUCACUGCACGCAGGUAACCCCUCCAUCUAAUCUGCACAAAGCAGACUUGCCUCCUGAGUCUUUCCGUGCUGAAAGAGGCUUAGAGGGGAGGCACAGAACGAGUGCUAAGACAUCCCUUUCAGGAAAAUUAAAGCCAAAUACUUUUCCUAGGCUGAGAUUGCCAUAAAAGGUACUGAGAUAUCUUCCAGCUUUUUUUACCUUCUCCGUUUCUUUUGUAGAACCCCACGUUCUAAAUUUUUUGCAAAGAUCUAUUUUGAUUACUUCAGAAAAAGGUAACAUUUCUAUUUAAAGUGUAAAUACGUGAUGCCAGCAGUGUUUCAGUAAUGGAGCUAUUUUUUUACUGUUGAAGCUACAGAGAGGAGCUCAACUGUUGCUAUAAUAUGGCACUGUCAGAGCAUAUCAGUAUUAGUGCAAACUGUAUUAAAAAUCUGCAGGUGGAACAGCAUCUCUUUCCUCUUAAACCAGCUUCAGCCAUUUCCUUGUCACAAGAGGUCUUACCAGACACAGAACAGAGUCACUCAGGGAUAGUUUUUGUAAAUUUACGGCAGGAGCUAUCAACUUUUUUUUUUUUAUACAGAAAACUUCUCUUGCCAGUGACCAACACUUUGUUUUUGUUGUUGCAAGAAAUAUCCAGGGAUGGCUAUUUUGGAUUCAGUUCCAACGAGGUGACAGAGUGACUUCAAUGUUUGCUGCCCCUCUGCAAGUUCCCUAAAGCACUAACACAGUGUGACAGCUACAGCAACCCGACAGGUUUAAAACUACACGGCCAAGGCCACUGUUUCUGGAGUUGGGAAAGCAAAAGCACGACACAAAAGCACUUUCAUGGUGUCAGUUGAAACUUUUCUCUAGGUGGUAAAAGAAAAAAAAAAAAAAAAUUAAUUUGGUUCUUUUUGGCUUGAGAGAGAAUAGCUGGAAACACAUGAAGACACCCACGUUGGUGGUGUUGAACGACAAUGGGUGAUACAAGAUGUGGAUGCAACACUAGAACUGUGCUGUGGUUUAAGAAGUUUUUUAAUGUAGCAUAAUUUAGUGUUCUUGUAUUUGCAAUAUAAAUUGAGUUGUCUUAACUUUUCCUGUAUACAGUAUUUUGGAUACUUGACGAUUUGGACUGUCAGUGUUAUUUUUUAGUGUUCUGCAUUACUCUGCUUUGUUUCCUAAGGCCCUCGCUGGACAUGCCAUUGCUGCAUUUGUUUUGCCUAAACAAAGCAUUUCCACUUGUCCUUCUGCUGAUGAAAGUAAAAGUAAGGAUGGGGCAGCAAUAACCAGAUGUUCUCUGUGUAAUUCAGGCAUUACCACUGCUCUUUUGCAACCAUACUCUGGUUUCCUUCUUAAGACAAGCUCUUCAGCCAAGCCAGCCAGUCCUGAUUGCUGCCUCUAAUCAUUCUGACAUUCCUUUGCACCCUCUGGAUAUCCACUGCUCCUUCUCUGUGCUGCUGCAAGGAUACCUGUAAUAAGGGAGAGAGAGGAAAGGGAUGGAUCAGGGUAGCUCUGGGCACUAUGGGAGCACAAUCCCCAGUCUCACCAGGCAGCCUUCCUGUGAAAAACCAGCAAAGCUAAGAAUCAAACCUUCCAUUAUUUUCAGUUCUAAAAUGCACAGUGGCAUCUCUAACGAGAGAAGGGGAGGUGGUCCCCCUCCCCAUACAGCUCGUGGGAGCUGAUGGAUGGAAUUCAUUGUAUUGUUGUGAAUAAUAUUCAGGUUUGUACUAAUGUAUUACGUUUAACUUUGCCAAGAAUGUUUUACAUAAAUACCAAGCUAUGAAGCA